CGGCGUGGAUAAGACAUGCAAGUCGUACGGGAUAGCAAUAUCCAGUGGCGAACGGGUGAGUAAUGUAUCGCUAACGUACCCCUAUGUCCGGGAUAGCUGAGGGAAACUUCAGGUAAUACCGGGUGAUAUUCCUUCUUCGCAUGGAGAAGGACUCAAAGGGCAACCGCAAAGGGAGCGGGCGAUAUCGUAUCAGCUAGUUGGUGAGGUAACGGCUCACCAAGGCUAUGACGCGUAGCCGGACUGAGAGGUCGGACGGCCACAUUGGGACUGAGACACUGCCCAGACUCCUACGGGGGGCUGCAGUAACGAAUCUACGGCAAUGCACGCAAGUGUGACGGAGCGACGCCGCGUGAAGGGCGAAGUCCUUCGGGAUGUAAACCACUGUCAGGGGUACCA
rnacentral:rRNA from 1 species